GAUGAACGCUAGCGGCAGGCCUAACACAUGCAAGUCGAGGGGCAGCACAGAAACAGCAAUGUUUUGGUGGCGACCGGCGGACGGGUGCGUAACGCGUAUGCAACCUACCUUUAACAGGGGAUAACGGAGAGAAAUUUCCACUAAUACCCCAUAACAUCGAUCAAGGCAUCUUGAUUGGUUGAAAACUCCGGUGGUUAAAGAUGGGCAUGCGUUGUAUUAGGUAGUUGGUGAGGUAAUGGCUCACCAAGCCUACGAUACAUAGGGGGACUGAGAGGUUAGCCCCCCACACUGGUACUGAGACACGGACCAGACUCCUACGGGAGGCAGCAGUGAGGAAUAUUGGUCAAUGGGGGCAACCCUGAACCAGCCAUGCCGCGUGCAGGAAGACGGCUCUAAGAGUUGUAAACUGCUUUUAAACAGGGAUAAAGCACAGUAUGUAUACUGUGUUGAAGGUACUGUAAGAAUAAGGAUCGGCUAACUCCGUGCCAGCCGCCGCGGUAA
rnacentral:rRNA from 1 species